rnacentral:rRNA from 1 species
UACGUAGGGUCCAAGCGUUAUCCGGAAUUACUGGGCGUAAAGAGUUGCGUAGGUGGCAUAGUAAGCGGGUAGUGAAAUCGUGUGGCUCAACCAUACAUACAUUACCUGAACUGCUAAGCUAGAGAACGAGAGAGGUAGAUGGAAUUCCCAGUGUAGGAGUGAAAUCCGUAGAUAUUGGGAGGAACACCGAUGGCGUAAGCAGUCUACUGGCUCGUUUCUGACACUAAGGCACGAAAGCGUGGGGAGCAAACGGG